rnacentral:RNase_P_RNA from 1 species
GGGGCAGAUCGGGCAAUCGCGGUAGUAAUUAUCGAGGAAGGUCCGGACUCCACAGGGCAGGAUAGCGGCUAACAGCCGUCCGGUAACGACCGCUGCUUUGGCAGCGGUAAAAGCCGAGGAACAGGGCCACAGAGACGAGUCUGUUAUGCGGGCGUGCCGUGGGUGCGCACUGGCACGGUGUCUCCGUGCGGCGUGUCUUGCUUUUGCAAGGCACAGCAUAGCAGGGUGAAACGCGGUAACCUCUAUCCGGAGCAACAUCAAAUAGGCAUGCAUUUGGUCUUAACGGCCAUACAGGCGGCCCGCCUGUGCAUGCGGGUAGGUGGCUAGAGCCGGUCAGCAAUGAACGGCCCAGAGGAAUGAUUGCCCAUCGAUAUUCUCGAUGUACAGAAUCCGGCCUACAGAUCUGUUCCGCAC